GUCUGGGGCCGGGGCGGUCGCCUGUCUGUGUGGACCCAGGAUCCUCAAAGAGAACGAAUCUGGGACCCUGCAGAAAUGAAGGGCAUGUAGUGUAGAGGUUUUUCCUUUUUAUUUAGAAAGGAAUGAAAGACCGGCAGUGCACCUGCUUGGAUAAUAAGCACGUGACCCAAAACUUUGUUCGGGCUCCAUGGGCAGGAAUAAAGCUGGGUAUUUGACCUCGCGCGAGGACGAGCGAGAAUGUCAGAAUGAGGGACUUGGGGGAAGACUGAAGAGAGAAAGGGAGCAUCUUCUUCAGCAUUUUCUCUCCCUCCUGGAUGCAACCCUUCCUGUACGUGGUCAUUGGCCUGGAGAUGUUUACUGGAGUACUCCUCCACCGGCAGGGUUACUGGUGUCACUGUGCACCCAGUCCCCUCGAGCUGCGUGAUUCAUCGCAGCCUUUGGAUCCGGAAGGAUGAGCAAACUCCUUAAGUGUAAUCGUGGAAAUAAGUAAUCAUGGUGCUCAACAGUUUGGAUAAGAUGAUUCAACUCCAGAAAAACACUGC
rnacentral:lncRNA from 1 species